GCUGGUAUAGCUCAGUUGGCAGAGCACUCCCUUCGUAAGGGAUAGGUCGCCGGUUCGAAACCAGCUACCAGCU
rnacentral:tRNA from 1 species